AUUCUGCCCAUGUGGGGAAGGAUGAGAAGCUUCGACCAAGGUUCGACUCGAGCGCCAAUGAGAAAGCGUUGCCGCAGGCAACUACCCGAAGGGCGAAGCGCGCAGCGCUGAGUAAUCCUUCCCCCACCACCA
rnacentral:sRNA from 1 species